ensembl:lncRNA
UGGGGGUUUGCCAAAGUGCAAAAGAGGCCAUCUGAGAAAUGUUGUGCUUGGGUCAAUUUUUUAGCUCGUGGGUGCAGCGAAGAAACAGCUCGACCAGUUCUAAAUAUACCGUCCUUGACAGACGUGAAAUAAGUCCACUGAUUGAAAUAGCUGCCUAGUUCCCAGUUUGAGAUCUUACUGUAUAACAUCAGCGCUUGGCUGCCCCUCUGGUAAACUUGGAGAAGAACCGAUUUCCAUUUUGCUCCUUUUGAAAUGAAAGGCGUUUGAGGAUUGUCAUUCAGCAGGAAUGUACCAAUUCUAAGAACUUCUAAACAAGGCUCGCUUCAUAAUGAAUGGCAGCGGGAGCCUGGAUUUAUGAUCAUUUAAAUGAAUAUGGUAGGAAGGAAAGUAUCAAGGUUACCGACUGGAUUCCUGGAGCAGAUGAGUAGACCUUCAUGGCCAGACAACAGAGCAAGCUGACGAAGUCCAUGUAGCCAACUCUGCAGUCAAAACCAAAGUGCUGGGACUCAGAAGGUCUCGCUUCUUAAUUUAACUGCGUGUAAACAAAGAAAUGCUGUUGGCCCUAUUAAUCUCAGCGCAGGCCUGAGGGAUAAUGGCAGAUGACUCAUGGACCAGACACCAGUGACAACGCAUUACUCCGUGUCUGUUGGCCAAGUGCUACUGACUGAAAUCACUGGCUCUACCUCAAUUCACUGCAGCAAAGUGUCUGGUCUUGCUUGGAUUUGCUUGAGAAAUGACCUUUAUUUUUCUUAUCCGCAUUCUCACCUUAUGCAGUCUCCAUGUGUGUGCCAAAGUCACCUCCCCUGCAAGGGUGGACAGAUUUAGAGAUGCUCAAAAUGGCACAGUGAGGGUGUGUGGUUUGCUCUCCUGCUUUUGCUUAACUGGCCAGCAAGUGAACUGGGAGUAAGCAGGUCAGCUCAGGAACAAAGAAGAAGGACCUGAAGAGAUCAAAGUAACACAGGUUCACAGACAUCUCUUAUCUCCAUAAAACUCCUAGAGAGCAUCCAGAGGAGGGCUAAGAAGAUGGUGAAGGUUCUGGAGGAUUCUUUCCAACUCAAGGUAUUCUGUGAUCCUAAAAGAGGGGCAGCAGCCAGCAAGGAUGGAAUCAUCACAAAGGGGAGAAAUUGCACUUAAUGGGAGGCAGCCAGGGUGCUUGGUGCACUUAUCACACUUGCCUGCAUCAUACUGCUUUCUCCUCUGCCUCUGCUUUUCCACAUGAGGACUCUGCUACGUGAAGGCCAAGGAGAUUCGCCAGUUGUGGCUAAAAUUUCUCCAUCACUGUUGCUCUGAGCUAAAAAUAAAUGAAUAAAUAAAUCAUCAGAAUCAGCGAGCACCCACCUGAUGCACUGCACUUCAGUAAAGUUGUCUGUGCUCUGAGCUGAGAUUCAGCC